CCUACGGGAGGCUGCAGUGGGGAAUAUUGGACAAUGGGCGAAAGCCUGAUCCAGCCAUGCCGCGUGUGUGAAGAAGGCCUUCGGGUUGUAAAGCACUUUCAGUGGGGAAGAAAGCCUUGGGGCUAAUACCCUCGAGGAAGGACAUCACCCACAGAAGAAGCACCGGCUAACUCCGUGCCAGCAGCCGCGGUAAUACGGAGGGUGCGAGCGUUAAUCGGAAUUACUGGGCGUAAAGCGCGCGUAGGCGGUCUGAUAAGCCGGUUGUGAAAGCCCCGGGCUCAACCUGGGAACGGCAUCCGGAACUGUCAGGCUAGAGUGCAGGAGAGGAAGGUAGAAUUCCCGGUGUAGCGGUGAAAUGCGUAGAGAUCGGGAGGAAUACCAGUGGCGAAGGCGGCCUUCUGGACUGGCACUGACGCUGAGGUGCGAAAGCGUGGGUAGCAAACAGGAUUAGAUACCCCUGUAGUC
rnacentral:rRNA from 1 species